rnacentral:misc_RNA from 1 species
CAGUGUUCUCUGCCCUCACGGGUAGGAUCGCCCACCCUUGAAUAUGAUAUCUGUUGCUUUGGCGGGCCACGAGGCCUGGCCGCGACCCCGCCCUCGCGGGGGAGUGCCCGCCAGAGGACCCCCAACUCUGAAUAUAGGUGUCGUCUGAGUACUAUAAUAAUACUUUUA